rnacentral:rRNA from 1 species
CCUACGGGGCGCAGCAGUGAGGAAUAUUGGUCAAUGGGCGUAAGCCUGAACCAGCCAAGUCGCGUGAGGGAUGAAGGUUCUAUGGAUCGUAAACCUCUUUUAUAAGGGAAUAAAGUGUGGGACGUGUCCUGUUUUGUAUGUACCUUAUGAAUAAGGAUCGGCUAACUCCGUGCCAGCAGCCGCGGUAAUACGGAGGAUCCGAGCGUUAUCCGGAUUUAUUGGGUUUAAAGGGUGCGUAGGCGGCCUUUUAAGUCAGCGGUGAAAGUCGGUGGCUCAACCAUAGAAUUGCCGUUGAAACUGGGAGGCUUGAGUAUGUUUGAGGCAGGGGGAAUGCGUGGUGUAGCGGUGAAAUGCUUAGAUAUCACGCAGAACCCCGAUUGCGAAGGCAGCCUGCCAAGCCAUGACUGACGCUGAUGCACGAAAGCGUGGGGAUCAAACAGGAUUAGAUACCCGGGUAGUC